CCAUGCCGCGUGUGUGAAGAAGGCCUUCGGGUUGUAAAGCACUUUCGGACGGAACGAAAUCGCGCGGGUGAAUAUCCCGCGUGGAUGACGGUACCGUAAGAAGAAGCACCGGCUAACUACGUGCCAGCAGCCGCGGUAAUACGUAGGGUGCGAGCGUUAAUCGGAAUUACUGGGCGUAAAGUGUGCGCAGGCGGCGUCGCAAGUCGAGUGUGAAAGCCCCGGGCUUAACUUGGGAAUUGCGCUCGAAACUACGGUGCUGGAGUAUGGCAGAGGAAGGUGGAAUUCCACGUGUAGCGGUGAAAUGCGUAGAGAUGUGGAGGAACACCGAUGGCGAAGGCAGCCUUCUGGACCAAUACUGACGCUCAUGCACGAAAGCGUGGGGAGCAAACAGGAUUAGAUACCCUGGUAGUCCACGCCCUAAACGAUGAUGACUAGUUGUUGGGGGAGUUAAAUCCCUUAGUAACGCAGCUAACGCGUGAAGUCAUCCGCCUGGGGAGUACGGUCGCAAGAUUA
rnacentral:rRNA from 1 species